AGACGCAGGAGCUGAUGCUGGCUGAGACGCAGGAGCUGAUGCUGGCUGAGACGCAGGAGCUGAUGCAAGCUGAGACGCAGGAACUGAUGCCCACUGAGACACAAGGACUGAUGCUGAUGGUCACAGAGUGUGUGCAGAUUGCGGCCUCCUGGUUUGGUUAAAAAAGAAAAAGGGGGGAGGAGUGAAUUGGGACUCCAAAUUGGACCCGGAGACGUUAGUUUUGUUCCUCUUCGCGUGUUCACUUCUCAUGUGUGUGCGUGUGAAUGUGUGUGUGAAUACUGCCCAGAGCAGGAAGUCAAAUAAGUCAACUAAGUAGGAUAAAACACCUAUAAUAAGUCCAUUAACAUUCAUUCCUGGUCGGUCCAUUUAAGUAUGUCAUAUACUCUUUUCUCAGGAGAUUCAGAAGUAUUCGAAGAAAUAGAAUAAGCGGACGCAUAAAGCUACGUCACCCUGGCCAACAGAGGGGACAUUUGAUCUGAGGCAGUGGGUUGAGAUCAAAUCUGUGAUGCAGUGUUGCAUUUUAUUAGCUGUGCAAAAAUGAUGGGCAAAAAGACAGCUCAAUGUUGUAAUAAUCAAUCUAAUCAGAUCACUAUAAUUAAGUCUCUUUCAGAUGCGUCCCAGAUGGAUGCAGAAGAAACAAAACCUGGAAGGAGAAAGAAGCCAGUUCACUCGGUAGCUGGUCUAGAAGGGACAGACAGGGCAGUGAAAAGGGAUGAGUUAUUAGAACUGCCCGACGUUUAUUUAAAAACUGAAAAUAACAAUUGGAAAUUCCUGCAGUGAAAGUGAUCUGCGUGACAGAGCAGGUAGAUCACUGUGGGCUGAGUCAGAUGAGGAAUCAAUGUGUGUUGGUGACGAACGGGUAAAUGAGGUUUCUGAUGGACUUCCUCUGCUGGUCAAAGGGGCAAAGUGUCAAAAUCUGCCCUGGCCUUCAAGACCAGAUCAGAAUGAUCUGAAUGACACUGUGGAACUGUGCAACAUGUCAGUAGAACAAAUAACUGACCAUGUGAUUCAUGCUGUUGAGCUGCGUCAAAAGCAGGCAAAGGAGGCAGUGAAAGAAGCAACACGCCAGCAGCAGCGAAAAGAGGGGGAGAAAAGAGAGACGAGGAUGGUGUCUGCUCAACCAACCAGCGUGCCUCAGACCCCACCUACACCACCAGGCAUGGCCACACCUCAGGUGAUGUACAUUCUACCAGGAGGGUGGACAAGACGACCUCCUAUGAGGAGAGGAGGGACUCCUCCAGGCCAAGGAGCAAGACGAGGAUGCUGUGGAAAAACUGUGAACUGCUUCCAGUGUGGGAGGUAUGGACAUGUGCAAAGCCAGUGAUGGAACAAGAGUGCACCUGGACGGCCAAGGAAGGCUGAGGCUGAAGCAGGGCCACUGAGACAGUGCAGGCUGUCAGAUAUGAACUGUGUCAAUGGACGUUAUCAAAAGCCAAAAAGCCAGAGGCCUCUGAAUCUGUGUUCUCACCUUGCUGCACACUUUAGUACUUUAAGACUAAGACAAAUAUCUAAAUUUUUAAAAACAAAAUAAAUAAGUCGAAUUGGUGAAAAUAACUCAGUCCUUAAAGCUGCCAAAAGCUUAAAAUAAAUAAAUGAAUAAAAUAAAAUAAAAUAAAAUAUUUCAAUUUUACAAGGAAAGGGAGAGGUACAGUAUGGAGAAUAUUUCAAAAUAAAGUUCAACUUUAUUUCAAAAUAAAGUUCCCAAUUCACUCACUCUGCUGUUGAAAUGCUUCACCUGAUGCUCAGUGGUUGACUGUGUUUUAUCCUCCAAGAGGUUUGGCUGUAUGUGGGUUUAUAUGAACUUUCUUUAGUAAGUUAAAAUAUUUUAGUUGUAGUUUUUAUCCACAGUUGUUACAGUAUGGUGUCAUUAGAGACUCAGAUAGUCACGGGGGAAAUUACAAUUAGAUGCAGUAGUGAUUGUGGGGUUGUUUGUGUUUCUAGGUUUAUUGCUUUGUGCAACAGGUUCAACAGGGUGUUAUGUCUAAUGUGUCAUCUCUGAUAGGUUGUGAGAAUGCAGCUUAUUUAGUCUGUAUGUUAAUUUCGUCAUAGAGUCACUUAGUGCAUGCAUUUACAGCACUUCCUGAAUUAAAUAAGUUUUAUCGCAGUGAUUCUGUGUUCUUCAUCAGGUUAGUCACUAAAGCUCAAUCCUUCUUGUUUAGCUGUCAGCUGACAUCGAGGGUGUAACCUUGAAGUUUAGAUGCUGUAUAAGUUUCUUAAUUUCACUUAGUUUAUUAAGUCCCAGUAAGGAUAGAUAAGUAAGGGUAAGAAAUGAUUUUUAGGGGUUGUACUAAUGUGCCCAUCUUAAGUUAGCGAUUCGAUUGUCCUCACUUUCUAAAUUAGUAAUUUGUAUAAUCACUUGGAUGCAGUAUGUGUGUAUGGGGAGUAUGAAAAUGAAUGACAGGAGACUUGUAUGUGUGGCGUCUGCUGUGGGACUAUUCUUCUAUUCUGUUUCUGUUGGGUCUCAUCCCAAGUUGGCGAACUUAUUCGAAGGAGGCCUGUUGGUUCAAAAGUUGGGGUUCAGUCGGUUCAAAUGUUAACUUGGAGUGUAAAUAGCUUGCGAAGAGGAUGAUCUCAGCAGGAUUCCUAGUGGAGUGAGAGAAAAAGAGAUGGUAGCAUGGUACAGUGGAGUGAGAGAAAAAGAGAUGGUAGCAUGGUACAGUAUGUGAGGGAGGAAAGGAGGUCAAGGAGUGAAGGAAAGGGAAAGUGUGAAUGUUGACAAUAGAGAGAUGAAACAGUGCUGUGAACCUUGCAUUUCAGGGUGUAGCUUGUAAAAAAAUAUGCAGAACGCAUAAAACUAACAUUGCAUGAAGCUUUGCUUGACAGAAUAGUGUUUAAUGCAUCAACCAGUGACCUACGUUUUUAUGUAAAACAGAUAAUUAACAAACGCAGGAGUGCUGUGUUGUUCCAUUGCAGGAAAGAAGAGGUCAAAGAAGAUCAAACUCCGGAUCACUGAUGGGCCCUGAGUGACACUGCUGACUCAUUUAGCAGAACAAGGUCACAGGCUAGCCUUUCUAAAUUAUAGUUCUCAUAGAGCAAGAGGUUUCUCUCUUAGCUCACGUGCACGAUAAAAACCCUGAGCUCAUGACAAUGACAUGACUGACUGAUAUAUGCUCUACGGACUGACCAUGACACGUGUCGAUGAUGUUUAUUGUUGUUGAUUUUAUAUAAUGAGGGUUUAACCAUUUUCAUUCUGCAUCUCAGAGUGUUGUUGCACACAGGAAGCUCACAUUAACAACUUCAACCCUUCUCUUUAGGCUGAGCAGCAGUGGAGAAACUGUGUCAGCAUAAACACCUCGCUUAAACUGAUUUUCUUGCCUAACCGAACCGAUUUCUCUCCUACUCCUAACCUCUGUCCACAGGUUACUUCAGUAUCAGAAAAGGGUCUUCUAUCUUCUGACCUGCUACAAAUUGGUUAUUUUAUAUUCUCGGAUUUUCUGAUUUCUACACGACGGCCUGAGACAAGAAGCAAACUAUAUGUUCUAUUUAGCCUAACCCUAACCCUAGCUCUGUAGGAUGGUUUAUGCUGCACUAUGGUGCAGAGCUUUCUGCCUCUCAGCUAUCAGCUCUCAGGUCCAGCUGGAGCACCAGUCUGAGGGGGACAGAGGAUGACGCAGCAGAGGAGUGCUGAAGCCCUGGACAGUCUGGAAGCGAGUGACUCGGUGUGAGGGCCACAAGUGAGCUGGGCCAACUGGGUCGGCUAGCAGAGAGGCUAGGCAUCAGAUGAGCUUCCCAGGACAACGCAGAGGGUGCAGUGCCACAACUUCCAGAACAACCAUGAUGGAAGAGCCACUGGAGCCGAAGGAGCCGAUGGAGAGUCCAAUUAAACCAAUUCCAGCUAGACCAAGAUUUCUCACCCACCUAAUAUUGUGGGGCUGCGCGGACCAACACAUCUAUAGGAGGCGGAACGACGUGGCAUCACAGACCUUCAAGACUGACUGUUGCUGCGUAUGAGGAUCACCUGUUGGAGCUGAAAGAAGAGCCUAGGCAAAAGGAGACGUCCUAGGCAAAGGACGAGCUGGAGCUGAAGUUGAAACCUGGGGCUCCGGUGUAUAUCAAGGGGUUUUAGGAGAACGUGGGACCAUGCCCGACAAGAAGGUCCCAACAUGCUGGUCAAGACGACCUCAAGAGAAGUUCAAGUUAAAGGCUCCCUCCCCUGGUAUCAUCUGAACCACUGUGUUAAAGUAUUAGAGGGGGAAAUGGGGAACCCUAAGAUUGAUGUUUAGUAAAAAUGGUCCAAGUGUGUUUGUAAACUUGUCAGUAAUUUGUUUUUGUGUUUAUUUUUAGAGGCAGUAAAGUAAAUUGGGCUUAGCUUUAAUGGACAUUUGUCUGUCCAUUGAGGGGGAAAGUUUGUGGUAAAUUCUGUUCCUCCUAUGGAGUUAUUUCUGUCCAUUGCAACAAAUGUCAAGUUGACCGUGGUGUCAGGUUGGCCACUAAAACAAAUAAACUGCUGCAGCUGAGUAAACAUGGACUUUCGAUGGACACGUAGGCACUCGCUGGUUGCAUAAACAACACAGCUUUAAAAAGUGGGCAUUGAGAGAUGUUUCUUAGAGUGCUUCGCAGAGGGUCUGCUGCAGACACCCAGCAGACCUUUUUCGACCUCUUAGUUCUUUCUGCAGAAGAACAAGCGGGUGAAUUCGGCCACCACCUCUCUCAUGAUUAUUCUGUGAUUGUACUAUUUCAUUCUAUGUAAUAAAUUCAUGUGUUAAUUUGAGCAUAAAA